rnacentral:rRNA from 1 species
CCUACGGGAGGCAGCAGUGAGGAAUAUUGGUCAAUGGGCGCGAGCCUGAACCAGCCAAGUAGCGUGAAGGAUGACUGCCCUACGGGUUGUAAACUUCUUUUAUAAAGGAAUAACGUGAGUCACGUGUGCCGUUUUGUAUGUACUUUAUGAAUAAGGAUCGGCUAAUUCCGUGCCAGCAGCCGCGGUAAUACGGAGGGUCCGAGCGUUAUCCGGAUUUAUUGGGUUUAAAGGGAGCGUAGAUGGGUUGUUAAGUCAGUUGUGAAAUGUUGCGGCUCAACCGGAAAAUUGCAAUUGAUACUGGCAGCCUUGAGUACACUUGAGGUAGGCGGAAUUCGUGGUGUAGCGGUGAAAUGCUUAGAUAUGACGAAGAACUCCGAUUGCGAAGGCAGCUUACUAAACUGCCACUGACAUUGAUGCUCGAAAGUGUGGGUAUCAAACAGGAUUAGAUACCCCUGUAGUC